rnacentral:rRNA from 1 species
UACGUAGGGUCCGAGCGUUGUCCGGAAUUACUGGGCGUAAAGAGCUCGUAGGUGGUUUGUCGCGUUGUUCGUGAAAAACUCACAGCUCAACUGUGGGCGUGCGGGCGAUACGGGCAGACUGGAGUACUGCAGGGGAGACUGGAAUUCCUGGUGUAGCGGUGGAAUGACGCAGAGUAUCAGGAGGAACACCGGUGGCGAAGGCGGGUCUCUGGGCAAGUAACUGACGC